CAAGACUCCUACGGGAGGCAGCAGUGGGGAAUAUUGCACAAUGGGGGAAACCCUGAUGCAGCGACGCCGCGUGAGUGAAGAAGUAUUUCGGUACGUAAAGCUCUAUAAGCAGGGAAGAUAAAGACGGCACCUGAGUAAGAAGCCCCGGCUAACUACGUGCCAGCAGCCGCGGUAAUACGUCGGGGGCAAGCGUUAUCCGGAUUUACUGGGUGUAAAGGGAGCGUAGACGGCAGCACAAGUCUGGAGUGAAAUCCCGGGGCUUAACCCCGGAACUGCUUUGGAAACUGUAUGGCUAGAGUGCUGGAGAGGUAAGCGGAAUUCCUAGUGUAGCGGUGAAAUGCGUAGAUAUUAGGAGGAACACCAGUGGCGAAGGCGGCUUACUGGACAGUAACUGACGUUGAGGCUCGAAAGCGUGGGGAGCAAACAGGAUUAGAUACCCUGGUAA
rnacentral:rRNA from 1 species